UCUGUCACAAUACGAAAAAGCGACAGUUGUGCGAAAGUGUGCGUCCACACACGGUAAAACGGAAUGGCGUCGACAACCGAAAUACAAAUUGUAAAUAUUCCGAAUUUGGAGAAAAUUCAGAGUUUCCUAAAUGAUUCCGCCUAUAAGGAAGUGCUCGAGAAUAGUGAAAACUUCAAUACGCGGUUGUGUAUCGAACGCCGCCUGCGGAUGCCGUUCAUUGAUCCGCAAACGGGAGUUGCACAGAAUCACUGCGCUUUGUUUAUGAAGAGACAACAACGAAUGCCUGGUUUUCGUGACGGGCAAAUCUACACGUACCCUUCAACGCGGUGGCGGAAGCCCAAACGGCAGUAUCUAUUGCAGCAUCAUAAUUACAGGCCCUACAGCUACCGAGAAACCCAAGUCGAGGCGACAGUACCUAUAACUGAUGGAACUACUGUGAAUCCAGCAGUUGACACCGAUAGUAAAGAUAGUCAUCGAAACGAUGAGAAAGAGUGGUAUUAUGAUGAAAUGGAGUUGAGUCAUCAUGUAGAUAACUUCGAAGAGGAUCCUGAAUCAGAUAUGGACUUCGACGAAUCAUAUAGUAGCAAACGUCGCAGAAGAAAAGGUGCAGGUGUAUCGAAGAAGACUAUCGUAAUUCCAGAAGUACCAAUAGUUAAACGGGGACGAAGAGGUCGUAAGAAACAAGUACCGAGUGAUGGAGAUGGUCGUCGCAGUCGCCCUGGUCCACCAUCACUUCCACCAAACACCGGCUCAUCCCCGCUUAAUAACAUUGAAGAACCCCAGAUGCCUAUUCUAACGCCAGAGCAUAAGCUUCCAGCAGAUGAGACAGACGUUGAUAGACGAAAGCAGGGGAAAUCACGAUUGGAGACUGUUAAGGCUGAACCAUCGCCGUAUUGUGAUUUUUGUUUAGGCGAUUCUCGUGAAAACAAAAAAACCCUUUUGCCAGAAGAACUUGUAUCCUGUUCGGAUUGUGGUCGAUCGGGUCAUCCAUCAUGCUUACAAUUUACCCCUAACAUGAAUAUUUCUGUGAAACGAUAUCGAUGGCAGUGUAUCGAAUGUAAAUAUUGUUCAAUAUGCGGAACAUCAGAUAAUGACGAUCAACUGCUCUUCUGUGAUGAUUGCGAUCGAGGUUAUCAUAUGUAUUGCUUAUCGCCACCGCUAACAGUACCACCGGAAGGUUCGUGGAGUUGUAAACUCUGUAUUGAAGAAUUUCAUAGUGACAAAAAGUCAUUGUCUAAUUCUGGCUGCUAUAGCGCAAGGUGCUGAGUGAAGAGUAAUUAAAACAGAACAAAAACUAACUGUACAUAAACCGAUUUAUCUUCAGACAAAUUGAAUUCAUGUCGUAUUACUGCGUUGUUGCGUCGGUUUAUUAUGCAGGCUGGUGGUCACCGCGCCACUAGGCUCAUCUUCAAGAAUCAAUCAGCAUGGAGACGUAAUAUCUCUGAAGUUGUACUUAAGUCUUCGUGGUCAAACAUCUUUACAAACUGUUAUAAUUGCGUGUUGAUUAAAAAGUCAACUUUGGAAAAAAUCCUUUACUGCCUCUGACAAGAAUGUAGAAAUAAAUUUUUUUAUUAAAUUAAUAUGAGUAUUUUUUACCUUUUUAAUAUCCCCGGCCUGCAUUACAAUUUGAAAUGAUCAACAGUUGUUAAGAUGGUCAAAAUAGGCCUUCGUAGUUAACAAUAAUCAACUCGUUUGUUGAUAUAGAUGUAUGAAUAUGUACACACGUAUGUAUUGUUAUGACAGAAUGUAAUGGCGAUGGUCAGACGUCCUUUUAUUCACAUUGGCCUGCUCAUGCUACAUAUUAUUCGGUGCAUAUCCAUCAUUUGUUUCUGUCUGGGGCGAGUGGGAAUUUGUUUUUGUAAUAGGAAAAAAUCGAUGCAUUUUUUACUAUGAUCCGAACAACAUUGAAUUUGAAGUUCAUCCAAAGCAAAAUUAGCGGGGAUUGGAUCGGCCGGCGAGGUUAGCACAGAGAUCAGCUGGACUCGUGGAGUUUGAAAUUUCAAAAGCAAAUACUAAAGCAUGUAAAAUGCGGAAAAUUUGCCAUUUGUUGUGUAUAUUCCUUCUGGAUUGCGAGAAAUGUUGAAAGGGGAUUAUUUUUAGAUUCAGUGACAACCAGAAACAAUUGUACAAAGUAUUGAAGCAUCCAGACGGUGGGUCAAGUGACACCAUUGAAGCGGAGGAGACAAGCUUCCCGCACAGUUUGCAGCGACGCGACAUUAAGACUUCGUUGGCAUUCAAGAUGCACUAUCGAAACCCGCUUCACUCACUUGAUACGGAUCAUAUUUCACAUAAACCGGGUUGACUAGGCAAAUCUGAUCUCCCGUUGCUUGCAGAUAAGUUUAUGGUUGAGAAUGUGUUCUAACAAAUCCACAAAAUAUUUUAGUGUUGUAAAGUAAAAGAAAACCAAAAGGAGAACAUCUGUACUUUUCACUAGGCGCUACCCUGUAUGAAUAUUCGUUUCUCCUUACUUUCAUUCCAUGACUAAUUUUUGAGACUACAGGUAUAACCUAUUCUUAUCGCCAUCUAACAGAAUAUGAUGGCAAUGAUAUAUCAUAUACGAGUAUAGAUAAUGCAACGUUGUUCAAUGUUUGUUUACAAUAAAGAUAAUAAUUGCGGCCUCAAUAUAUUAUGGAAAUAUCCAGGGGAAAAUUUUGCCGUUUUCGUAUCAUUUUCAUCAAAUUUGUCGCGUCGGCAGACAAUACACUUCCUUUGAGCAGUUCAAUCCUUCACGUGUCAUUGUAUUAAAAUGCACGUGUCCUUUACCGACCGUAAUCCGUACCGGAUGCUGAUCGUCCUGUUAACCUAUCGAAACAGUAUGCGAGCUAAACUGGAAAUGCAAAUAAAAAAAAUAACGGCUCGACUAUAUAUUGGGAAAGGUAAAGGGUGUUAAAAUGGAAGAAAAGGGAAGAAUAUUAUAUAUCAGUAACUGCAUUCCCUUUUUAGAUUGUCUCUGGAAAAGGCGAAUGAAAGACUGCACCUGUCGCAAAAACGAGGAUGCUACAACUUGUGCAAGCAUUGUACAAAUGCACAUAUUUAUUUAGACAUCAUCAGUCUUCUAUUUUCAUUAACAUUAUCUAAUAUUUCUCGGUCAGGAUUCACUGACGUGGAGCGAAUUAUGUACAGAAUUAAAAUAAACUAAAUGCUAGCAUUUAAAAUUCCUAACUCACUCACAGAAAUAGUGUGUCUAAGUGAUUCUACAGUUGAGGGUAUAAUAUCAUGCUUUGUACAUGAGAAUAGAGUUCGAGAUAAUGGCAGAGAAGCUGCAAACAAAAUUUUUAACGCAGCGGACGAGCUAAACAAGAACACUAAACUAUCAGCCACCGAGCUUGACGGUUAAGGAUGAGUUAAUUUUGUAGCGUAGAAAUCUUUCGCCGAGUCCUCCUGAAUCAAAACUUUGAUACUAGAGUAGCAACGAAAAAAACCUUUAUAAGUAUGAAGAACCCGAAAAGUCGUCUUUGUUUGCAAAAGAACUCAUUAAUAAGGACAUCGGCUUUUUGGCUUUAAGUCAUAUUUGCUGACGAGUCCAAUUAUAACAUUUUCAGUUGCGCUACAAAAUAAAAAUUUAGAGUUAACAGCUAAGCGUGGGGUGACAGUGCCAGAAUGCUAAUUUUCCGCAAAUUGCAAAUUAUCGAUGAAGUUAAUUGCGUCCCCCUAUUUCACAUGCGCCCUCUAUCUCGAGUUGUAAUCCCGACUCUGUAACUGCACCCCAAUUCGCGGUCGCCCUUAAACGGGUUUUACAACAGUUAUCUGGCUAGAUCUCGGCAUAAGCAUACGAACGGCAUGGAAAUGGAAAAUGAAAUGAUUAUUUUUAAAUUCUUAUAAUAUUUUAAAAGGAGUGAAUAUGGGAAUCAUACGGAGGGAAAUGAGGGUGUUGCAGGGGCUUGGGUAAACGAAGUAAAUGAAUCUCUCACCCGGUAUAUUCUUGAAGAGAAAGCGAAGUGUCCCAUCGACACACCCUUGCUUUACACCUAAGUUGGGAAAGCGAAUUCCAGCCACUUCAGGUAUUCAAGGUUUUGUGCUUUCCUAAGUAGGGAACUUGGUGUGCACAACUGUUCCUUUUGUAACUAACUAAAAGCUCUUUUGUAUACAUAUUAUAUUGUAUAUUUACAAAACAGGAUAUGUACAUAUCGAAAAAACGUUAAUACAUUCAUCAUAAGCAAAUAAACAUUGGAUAUUGCUUACUAAAUGCGUACAUGCGUAUAUAUCAUCUGAAUUGGCUAUCUCCAAAUGCACAUUAACAAACAUAAGUAAAUGGAUGAUUUUAGUUCGUACGCACGAACAUAAAUAUAUAUGUAUGCGUAUGUAAUUGAAUAACACAUUGUAUUACGAAUUUCAUACGUAUUCUUCUAUGCGUGAGACUGAUUUACAAAUAACUAAAAUAAAGCUAAAUAGUUUAAAGCUUGUCGAAAUACUUUCGUCGUAUAUGUAUAAGUAGGCCUUUAGUAUACGUUACACCUUUCUCCUUUAAUUUGACACUGAUGUCAUAUGAUUUCUUGGCGUGCAAUAAGUUCACAUGAAAAUGAUAAUUUUGAUCUUCUAAGUUUUUGUUACUAAUAGCGGGAUUUCAACCAAACUUGAAUUAUUUCAAUAUUCUCAAAAUACAAUACAAUACAAUUUCUGGAACGCUUUUACAAAAAAUAUGCUACCAAAUGUUACUGCUACUAUUUAAAUGUAAAUUAUCUGAAAUACUUGCAAAUUAUAUCGAAGUUGCAUCAAGUAAAAAGGAAAGCGUAUUUGUUGUAGUUUUUUGUUUUAAAUUCUUUCGCAUUUUUCAAUGUACAUACUUUCUCGGGAAAUGAAGUGAUAUCCUCAAACAUUGUCUACACAAGGAGAAUAUCUUUAUAUUUCAUGUCUGAUGCAACGCAGAUGCAAAGUUUUUCGGCACAGUGUAUAUUUCUUCGGUUAAUUUUACAAUUUUACCGCAGUCAGCUUUAUAGAAGAGGUUCCUCUUAGUUGCAGCCCUCAGCAAUCGAGGCGUGGAUCGAUCGCUUUAUUUAUAUAAGAGGACAUUUGCUUUCUUGAUUAAAAAGAAAGCACCCAUUUAGAUUUUUUUUCCCCAAAAUCUAUAAUAUUUAUUGAAAAACUUCCUUUUGGAUGUUAUGAUAUAUGUGUUGAAGAACAAAAAAUAAUUUUCUUAUGACUUUCAACUGUUCAUAUCGCGAAAGUCACAUUCUAAACGGGGAGACAUUUUUUGAGCUAUCAAGUCCAGUGAAUUAUCCCUGUAAAACGGAUUUCUAUGUAUAUAAAUUUUCAGAGGUAUAUUCCCUAAUAUUUUAUAAAAAAAAAUCAAAUGCUUGAAAAAUGUGUCUGGCGAGUUCAAAAAAUGUUGUUUCGAGAAAAACUCGUUUGAAAUUUUUUUUCGAUAAUUUACACACAAUAUAUUUUCCACAUAUUGCAUUAUUCUGUCGUUCCUGGUGAAUGCUGUAGGUCUUCAAUUUCUGCCAAAUAUAAAAUCCUUCUCUUCAGAUCUUUUUUCUCUAUAUUCGAACUUCUCUUAAACGUACGGUGCUCCUUCAAUCAGUUUGCCGUAUACGGCGUUCAUCUACAUAUUUCGCGAAAAUCCUAGUAGUAUAGCCAACUUUGAUGUCCGCUACAUCAAUAAUGGGAAAGUAAGUCCAUGCUUCUUCAUUAAAGGCAUAUGGAACUAUCCACGAUGCAACUUGUCUGGCAGCCAAUAAGCUCUUUGGAGCGAGGAUUUCCUCGAGAGCAUUUUUCGUGUUCACCUACCUAUUUUCAAACACUUAAUUUUUGUUCAAAACUUGAGAAAAUAAAGUACGUGCUUUUCGACGAAUGAUACAAAGCAAUUGUAUAUAUAUUGUAUAUGUAAAUAUAAUAUAUAUUUUACAUACCCUUAUAAUAGUUGCAUAUACACGAGACGAAGUGUAUAUUGCGCAAACCGCGCUCGGCGCCGCCAAAACUAAUUCUAGGGUACGACUACAGUUGUGUUUAUAACUUGAUUUAUAUAUGGAAUUUCUCAAAACUUUUAGAGUAUAUUUCUGUGAUCUUAAAAAACAAAUUUAUGAAAGAAAAAAAUAACUUUUUUUAUUUAGAAAAUGCAUAAUAAUAAUUCGCUUUGUGUAAGUGGAUUAUUUUCUUCCAAUAUGCAUUUAUAUACACGUCCUUUGACGACCGCCUCAGUACAAUUUUUGGUCUUUUCAGUCUGCUUCUAAUCACCGCGAGUUACGCCAGCGAAUGAUAAAAAGGCUUCGAAAAAAUUUACUUCUGUUCGAAUACUAUCCAAUUUUUCUCACAAAGUUACGGUCAAAUGCUUGAAAUUUUCCGCUUUAAGUUCUUAAGCAUCCAACUCAAAUAUAACUUCAGUUUUGUCUACUGGCAAGAAAUGUAUUUCCAAAACGCAGUCUUCCCGGUUUUGGAUAUCAAGUUUGCGAGUGUCAAUGGAGUUGUAAAGUAUCAAGAAUUUCUCCAUCAACAAACUACUGUUUCAAAAGGCUUUUGCUUUCUUCUUCGGUUAUACUUUUUUAUCGAUGCUGCUCCCCAGUGCGAUAGCGAAUUUCUAACUUCUUCAACGCUGUAAACAAAUAAUCCGCUCUCAUAGCACGGCGACGGCGGGAUCCAAUCUCAUUUUGAAAAUUCGGUUUUGACCACAAUAUAAAUUGAUGAAACCUAAUUCCUUCAUGUUUUCAUUAUAAAUUAAUUAUAAAGGUAUUUUUCCUUUUCCAGGCGCCAUUACUAAGGAUUAAUUAUUGGCCGAAUUCAACAUCGUCGAUGUUGCCGAUCAUCCAUAUUGCAAGUUCAUUCGUGACCUGUACCGUUUAGCUUUAUCCCUAAGUCUUAAGGGAAACAUUUACCAUUUGUAAGAUAUGUUAUUACCAGGUUGUCGGCCCUUUGCCGGCCUUAUAAUCUCCUUCCGCUUCAGCUCCACGGAAAUUACACGGUGAUCAGAACCUGAUAUAAGUAAUAUAGGUAAUUAGCGACAAGUGCAUACUGGCACCCUAGACCUGAACUCUUCCGCCUUAUUUUCAAGAAAAUGGGGCGUGGCGAAACCAGUCUCUCCUCAAGUGGAAUUAAUUCUUUUACAACUUGGGGAAUAAGAAGAAAAUCAGGCCAUUGACUCUGAUUAUGUAUAUGUAGUAGUAUGCUUUUGGUGUAUGUACGUGAAAAUAGUCCACUGCACUCGUCAGGUUGUAAACAGAAAACGCUCUGUAUACCUCUGGAGGAGGUAAGAUUGUCUUUCCUUCUAGUUAUUAGUAAUUCUUUCGAAUUUUGCCUAACCAAUUUGAUGGGCCAUAACUUGCCACAACAAUAACAUGCAUUUGCAUACCCUUCUUUUAUAUUCUUUGUCAAGUCAUUAAAUACUGCGUUGCAGUAUUACGCACGUAUUUGCUGAUGAGUUAUUUUUCCUGAAAUUUCCUUUUGUAAAUAUUGAGGAUUGGACCGACCAGUUCUUCGCGCUUACAUAUCUCACUACCGCGCUACUUCCUUAUAUCUUGUUCAUGCCACGAGUUCGCUUUUUAUCCCUGAACAAUGAAUUUUUCCGAGAGUUUUUCGACGUGCUACUGCAUCUCGGAUUUGUUCUUUCGUUCUGUAUAAUUGUAUCAUUCGAAAGCGUUUUCUUGUCAAACUGUUUCGCAAUUGCUCCUUCCACCUGCAAUUCUCACUGCUACGAACUUCACAUCUGGCUUAUUCUACAAAUGUUCGAAUUUUCUGUCAUGCGUGCCUAUCACGAGACCUUUCCACUUUCCUUUUAUUUCUCUGAUUUCUGUAACCUCACGAACUUUUCUACCUCAAUUAUCGCGAAGUUUAUCGUUUUCCCUUGAUUGCAAAUUCUGCCCUGAACUCUUGCGGCAUUUAAAUCUCGCUUCCUUUCUGCUGCUCUAAUUUGAGCAUUCAUUGGUGAAACGAUAUCUCGAAACGUUUUCCUGCUCUAACUCCAGUAUUUGUCGUAACAUUUCGUCGUGCAACAGUAUCACGGAGUCUCUCUGCAAUCCUGACGUUAUCUAUGUGGCUAGUACUCAGCCGUGCUUUGGCAUCACGAUCUUUUUCAACUUUCCUUACUAUAACGCUCUCGUUUUUCCUAACUUCUGGUUUUUCUUCCCGCAUAUUGCGUUUUGCCUGACGAUCUCGCCUUCUCUCGGUCUCUUGUAACCUUUCUCCGUUAUCUUUUGUUAUCUCGUCGAGUACUCCUACAUUUUCUUGAAGCAGUUUAUCCCAUCCUUUUGUCGAAAAUAGGUUGUUUUGUCGACCCCCUCUUAGCACUUUGUAACAUGACGAGUACACGACAACGCAUUUCUCUUAUCAAACAGUUUUCAUAAGUAGAAUUUUUGCUUGCUUUUGUACGUCUAUACUGAAUGGGAGGAUUUAAGCCAAACAAAUUGGAAAUAAAUGCCUCUUUUGGAGGACAAACGUUUUUAUGCAACAAGCUGCAUACACGCGCAAAAUUCCAGUAUUAUAAUAAAUACACAUCUAGGGUCCAACGUAACCCAAAUCUCCUCUUUACAAAAUUUGUAGAUGCACUUCUUAUGUCUUAAGGGCUCGAUUAGCGCAAGCUGUUCAACGAAAUCAAGAUCCCAUGGCCGGUAGUAUGUAUUCCAUUGUGAAAUAACAUGAAAUACACGUACCCCGUCGUCUUUUACAUAGUAGCCAAACUUAUUUUCCCCAAAAAGCUUUCAGCCAUUAUCAACUUUCGUUAAAAUUGCUUCCAAACAAUGUAAAUAUACAUUCUGGCAAAAAGUACCCGGAAUGUGUAAAUAAAACACCAACUAUUCCACAAUAUUUAUUUCGUCACUUUGAAAGUGGGCUCCAUCUGAUGCAACAAACAUGUGCCAAAGUCUUUUCCAUUCUUUGAAACAUUUUUCGUAGGCGAUUUUCGGUAUAGUUUUCAGUACCUUCAACAAAUUGUUGAUUUCGGCUCGUCUUUUCUCCGCCAUAUUGAUGACUGGUGACUUUCUUCCAUGUCAAAUUCAUAGGCCCAUGUCUCAUCAGUAGUUAUUAUGCUUUCCACGAAUGUAGAAUUCAAAUUGACGCGAUCUAGCAUGUCCAAUGAGAUCUAUCUACGAUAAUCCUUUUGAAGAAGAUUUAACUCUUUUGGAAAAAGUCUACUGGCGACUCGUGUCAUUUCCUAAUUAUCGAGUAAAAUCAAAGGAACUGACUUGUGAGACAAAGGUGUCGUCCUACCUCUCUUAAGUUAGAAUGUGUGAUCUGUACUGAUUCAAUCAACAAACUGAUUGACAGAUUGUUUUCAAAUGGUGCACGAUAAAGUACAGUAUUGUCAGCUUGUACAAAAAAUAUUUGAAAAAUUAUUAGCUACAGUAUUUAAGUAAAUGAAGAGAUAAGGAAAAUUUACAAACACAUUCGCAAUACACACACUCGUUUCUCGUAUAUUAAGGAUCAGGGUGUCUAGUACUUAAUAGAAAAUAUAAGGAUCAUUACAAGAAAAUAACAUUCUUAUAAAUAUAGGUAUUCACUCAUUUUUACAGCAAUACCAAUGUGAAAAAAGAAGUAAUUGUUUAAAUAUCUGGUUGAAUAGCCUUUCUUGCUGCUUUACAUUUGCGCGGCAUGGACUCAAUUAAGUUUAUUAUUACAUCUAUUGGAAGUGCGGACCACUUUUUUGGAGAGCAGCUAUUAAUUCAGCUGUUUUAGAAAAGUUUUGAGUUGGAAUACAUCGCUCUAAAUUCUGAUCAACAGGAUUUAGGUCAGGCUAUUUUUUUUACAAAUUUCAUACAAAAGUAAUAUUUACUCCAAAUCAUUAUGCUUCACCGAUGGUACUUGG
rnacentral:misc_RNA from 1 species